AACGAACGCUGGCGGCAUGCCUAACACAUGCGAGUCGAACGAGAUCUUCGGAUCUAGUGGCGCACGGGUGCGUAACGCGUGGGAAUCUGCCCCUUGCUUCGGAAUAACAGUGAGAAAUUACUGCUAAUACCGGAUGAUGUCUUCGGACCAAAGAUUUAUCGGCAAGGGAUGAGCCCGCGUAGGAUUAGGUAGUUGGUGGGGUAAUGGCCUACCAAGCCGACGAUCCUUAGCUGGUCUGAGAGGAUGAUCAGCCACACUGGGACUGAGACACGGCCCAGACUCCUACGGGAGGCAGCAGUGGGGAAUAUUGGACAAUGGGCGAAAGCCUGAUCCAGCAAUGCCGCGUGAGUGAUGAAGGCCUUAGGGUUGUAAAGCUCUUUUACCAGGGAUGAUAAUGACAGUACCUGGAGAAUAAGCUCCGGCUAACUCCGUG
rnacentral:rRNA from 1 species